ACCAAGCAAUUGGUCGCCUCGAUGGUAAUGACCAUGGGUCAUCUUCUUCAGGAUCAAUACCCUUGAAGUCUGCACUUGUGAACAUUAUGUCGAGCAUCUCAACCAUAUUUCGCGUGGCCACCAUGUUUACAAAUUGAACAUUGUGUAAAUGUUUCUUCUUGGGCAAGGAGGUGUAUUCUCCACCUCCAAAACCAUCGGUGAUGUUGUUUAGAAUCCUUCUAGGCCAAUCCAUUUUUUC
rnacentral:lncRNA from 1 species